UUGGACUCCAGAUAUUAGUAACAGCCUCCUGACAACACAUAGAGAAGUUACAUAUCCUCACAUGUCUAUGCUGGUUGAUGACAUAAAACUGGGAUCUAAUCAAGAGAGAACAAUGACAUCACUUGGCUGUGUGUUACAAACAGAGUUGGAGUGUGUAGAAAAYUCCUUAUUGCAAAUCGCCAGUCUUCAGUGGAUUAUGUCUGGAAUUUAGUUAGGACACCGGCAAUGAAUGGAGAAGAAAUUGUUCUGCCCUUUGCUAUCAACUCAAUUAGGGGGAUCUUGUUAACA